rnacentral:tRNA from 1 species
GCUCCCUUAGCUCAGCUGGAUAGAGCAACCGCCUUCUAAGCGGUCGGUCGUUGGUUCGAGUCCAACAGGGAGCG